rnacentral:misc_RNA from 1 species
GAAGUCACCCAGACAGAGCUGCAGGACCCUCACCCUUCCCGGGAACUGCCCUGGCCCAUGCAGGCCAGACGGGCACACAGGCAAAGAAAUGCCAGCAGGGACCAGGUGGUCUAUGGCUCUGGAACUAAGACGGACCGAUGGGCGCGGCUACUUCGGAGGUCCAAGGAGAAAACAAAGGAAGGCUUGCGAAGCCUGCAGCCCUGGGCGUGGACACUGAAGAGGAUCGGGGGCCAGUUUGGCGCCGGCACGGAGUCCUACUUCUCCCUGCUGCGCUUCCUGCUCCUUCUUAACGUGCUGGCCUCUGUGCUCAUGGCCUGCAUGACGCUGCUGCCCACCUGGUUGGGAGGCGCUCCCCCAGGCCCUCCCGGCCCCGACAUCUCCUCGCCCUGCGGCUCCUAUAACCCCCACUCCCAGGGCCUGGUCACCUUUGCCACCCAGCUCUUCAACUUGCUCUCGGGUGAGGGUUACCUGGAAUGGUCCCCUCUCUUCUAUGGCUUCUACCCGCCCCGCCCACGCCUGGCGGUCACCUACCUGUGCUGGGCCUUUGCCGUUGGCCUCAUCUGCCUCCUGCUCAUCCUGCAUCGGUGGAGCUGGAGGAGACAGUGGUGCGGCGCCAGGCUGCGGUGCGGACGCUGGGCCAGCAAGCC